UGGGAACCUUCCCUAUGGUUCGGAAUAGCUCAGGGAAACUUGGGGUAAUACCGGAUAAGCCCAUCGGGGGAAAGAUUUAUCGCCAUUGGAUGGGCCCGCGUCGGAUUAGCUAGUUGGUGAGGUAACGGCUCACCAAGGCAACGAUCCGUAGCUGGUCUGAGAGGAUGAUCAGCCACACUGGGACUGAGACACGGCCCAGACUCCUACGGGAGCAGCAG
rnacentral:rRNA from 1 species